rnacentral:rRNA from 1 species
UACAGAGGUCCCAAGCGUUGUUCGGAUUUACUGGGCGUAAAGGGAGCGUAGGUGGCUUGUUAAGUCUGGUGUGAAAUCUCUGAGCUUAACUCAGAAACUGCACCAGAUACUACCAAGCUUGAGUGUUGGAGGGGAGAUUGGAAUUCUCGGUGUAGCAGUGAAAUGCGUAGAUAUCGAGAGGAACACCAGUGGCGAAGGCGAGUCUCUGGACAACAACUGACACUGAUGCUCGAAAGCUAGGGGAUCAAACGGG